UCCGUCUGUUUUUGGUUUCGAUUCCUCGUUGCUUCUCUGAUCUAGCUCCUUGAAUUUGAUUGUAAUGACCAAUCAACCACUGACAUCAAAGAAAUCAUUGAAGAAUUUUUAAGAAACUGUUGAAACCUUCUUUCAUCAUCUUCAUGCUUCAGCAGAUUGGAGAUUUUGUCUCAAUUCCAAACCGAGAUAUCACGUCCAGAAGUGGGUUUCUGAGUCGAUUCUGAGGAAAGGGAAGUUUUUAAAGCCAAUGACUCUGGCAGAACCCACUUAUGAGAACGAUGACGCAUGGGUUUCUUAUGGUGAAUUGAUUCAUUGAUUGUAUAAAGUUUGGUUUCGAUGAUGUUUGUAUAGUAUUUGCGGUGAUAGAUGUUGCGGUAGGCUCUGUGUCGCAAGCUAAUUUCUAGGCGUGUCACUAACUCGACUGCACACAACUACAGAAAAUUUACCACCUAAUUGUACAAUGGAUGGAGUAUAACUAAAUCAAACGGCCUAAGCUAUCAAGCAUGUUAACGAAUCAGAGGAUUUGGAGUUUAUCUUGAUCGAGCGGAGUUUCAUGAUGUGUAGAAGAAGACAUUGGUGAUUUUUUUUGUCCCAUAACCACUCAACCAAGGAUGUGGUGUUGAUGACGAAAAAGGAAGGUGACUUUUUAUUUUAUUUUUUUGAAGCAAAAAGGAAGGUGAUGAUAAUGUUUUGUGUUAUCUUCUUGGUGGGAGUGAAAUGCUCAUGUGGGUAACAGUUGCUCUUUUCAUCUUCAGUUGAUUUGACAUUGUGCAUUCAGUACUGAAUUUAAAGGUAGACACUUCUGCUAAAUGCGGAAUCACUUCCGUUGAAUUAACAUUUAUUUGAUCUGAAUUGUGAAUGUUAUAGCCAGAUGGGUAGCUGCGAUGGAUGUUUUAGAUGGCCUUUUUACUUGAACUGAGCUAACAAUUUGACAAGAUUCAGUUUUGCAAAUCCAAGGUUCGCGUCUCUUUAAACCUGUAAAGUAGUUCCUCUGUAGGCUAGAAUAGAUCUUUCGUGAAGUUUUAGACAGUCAUAAUAUACAACACAUCUUUAGAUAAAGACUGCAUAGAAAACUUUGCAAUGACCUCUUUCUAUGAUUAAGUUGAACAUUUUUCAAUCUAUCCCUCUUUCUCUAUUUGCCUUAUGCUUUCAUUAUGGUUUAAUCUGCUUAGGUUCGUACUAACAACAUGAUAACUCUAUGCUUCGACUAAGUGCAAGGAACUAGAUAAUUCUAUUUUUGCUAGGAUUAUUGUUUGUCAUUUUGGAUGGAAUUAUAAGAUAACUCUAUCACUUGAUGGCAUUGGUUUUCUCUUUGUUGCUAGCAUAAGCUUGAGUUCGAUAGCUUCAGUUUGUUGUUGUGUGAAAAUUGAUUCAGACAUGCAGAUAAUUGAUCAACAUAUUCUCUUUCUUCGUAUCAAUAAAUAUCAAGUGACGAACCAGUAUCUAUACUCUUAAUCAGUUAGUCUUACAUUGAGUGUUGUUCUUAUUACUUGCCAGAUUUAAAUUACUAACCAUUUAUGAGUUUCCAUUAGUGUUGUUUCUAGAUCCAGGUGGAGCAAGUAUCUCUCCGAGGAACCACAUUAAUCUUUAGAGAUUUGAUUUCUAUGGCGGCUGUUAAUUAAUUUUAUAUAGCACUCCUAUAUAUGUAUCUUAACCGUUAUAGAAACCACACUGAUCCACGUGGUUAAUGAGGUACACCAGGUGGUUCAUUACUGAACAGUAAGUUCUUCCUCUGAUGUUUCAGGAGUAAGUUCUGUAAUAUUAUAGGUGCUUAUGGGAAAUCGCUUGACAAUCGUGUUCUUGCUGCUCCCUUUUUUGUUAUGCAUGCGCAACUAAAAGAUUAGUACUACCUGAUACCCCUAUCAAUGUUGCAAUUUCAUUCUUCUCUGGAUUUGUUACUUUGUCUGCAAUUUUGGAUUACCACUUUUAAAUAUGGGUGUAAUUCUCUAAUUACAGUUCUCAGAUUAAACCUACAAAGAUUUCAAUUCUCAAACCAGUCCGAAAUGAGGGUUUUAUAGUUAAAGAAGAAAAUGCUUUUGGUUCAUUGGUUGAAAUCAGAAGUGGGUAGUGGGUUUGCAGAAUAUGCAGCUUUGUUCCAGCUAUUUAUGACGCAGUAGUUGUCGUACCCAAAAUCAUCCCUCUCCGACAUUGGUGAUGCUUGGAGAUUUGAGUGGGGUUCUUGAAGUGUAGAUUGUUUCAAGAAAUUCUGGCAGAUUGGAGGAUGCACCUAUGGGGAGAUAAGCAAGCCAGAUAUAGCAGAAGUCACAGAUCACAGAUGAUGUUAAGUGUUUAAAAUCACAAAUGAUGUGAAUCAUAUUGGGUUUUCAGAGAACAGUUAGCUUCCCACUUUGAUUCAUUCUCUCUUCUGAACUCGGUGAGAGGCACUACCACCACCACCACCCAUUCUCAGCACCCUCAUGUUCUCGAUGACGAAAAACUAACUAUAAAAAUAGCGGUAGACGCACAAUGGGAUUUUCAUGUUGAUGAGCUAAUGCAAGUAAUUGAUCAGGAUGAAAAAUGACGCUUUCUUAUGUGGCAACUAAUUUAGGAUUUCAGGUACUAAUCUUAUAGGGAAUCUUAUUUGAAAGUCUUCUAAAUUAUUAUUUAAGUAAUUAUUGAAGGUGGGGAUCCCUGGAAAGUACCAGUUAUGAUUGUUAGGUGGCCAAUGGGGCUGCGGAUUCUCUAUCUAGACCAUCGUAAAAAAUUGAAGAUGAGAGAGAUGCAAGCCCUGGCAUGGUGUAUGUGAAUAUCACAAUUAGUAGAACGUAGUUCUUUAGGAGUUGGAUCUCAAGGAGGGAGGGAUAGGCUAAAGUGACCCUGAUGCGGCACUGCAAAUCCCUGUAUAUGGAUAUGGACUUGAAAAUUUUAUGUGGGGUAAGAAUCUUUGCUUACUGAAUUCUUCAAACCGUUUGAGUUUGGAAGAAAGCCCAUAUAAAAGGAAAGUGUACACGAGGCACUGGUUCAAUUGACCAAAAGAGAUUGAUUUUAGUUAUAUAUUAUUGAUCAGUGCAAUAUUCUCUUCAUUUGUAUAUAAUGCCCUCAGUACCACUUCUGAAAGCCAAUGUCCUAGCCAUGCUUGAACCAAAGGUUGUGGUAUGAGGGCGUGGAGUUGAUACGCUGAUUAGGAUUUCCCAAUUGAUGUGCAACCUACAACUGUGAUCGAUAUUGCAAAAAAUUCAAUUUCUCCCCUUUGAGUUUCUCAAUUGAUUGUUCUCGAAGAGGAGUUUCUUCCGUUACAAGAUACAAAAUCCUCAAUUUAUCGGUUACAUUAACAUUAAAACCCUCUGCGGGGGUUGGAUGAUUUACCAAAGAAAUAGUGUCCACAGCUGAAUUACCGAGAUGGUUCUCAAUAUAGAAGCUCAAUUGCGAUCGCUGCUCUAAAAAGCAAUCGAUUGCCAGGGGCACUGUUAGAUAAAUGAACUUGGAUAUGUAGGGUGAGUAUUUUUUCUUAUAGAAGGAUUGGAACUUUCAUGUAAUUGUAAAAGUUUUUAUCGAACCUGAUUAUGGUCAAGAUGACAAUGUUAUAAAACUUGGAUGGCAAUGUAAGGAAAUAUCAUCUUUUACCA